ACAAGCGGCACAACCGCGCCCAUACAUUAAAAAUCGCCAAAUCGGUGGCGAACCUAAACCAAGUGUGAACUUUAUUAGUGAAUAGAGAACGACUCUCUUAACAGAUUAAAAAACUUGAUGAUGUGUUUUUUUACGAAUGUGGAAGUAUCGAGCUGAGAGGACAAACUUCGCCGAAGUAAAACAUAAGUGUCAACCGAGAAAUAAGUAAAAAUGGCUGCAAAAGAAGCCCUAAACGUAACGCUAAAAAGAACAUGCACGAGAGGCCCUAAGAAAUGGAAAACAUCUUACAAACCGAGAAAUCAGGAUUCAGAUUGAACCACGCGAUAACGUGGAUACUCGCAUUUCCCCAGAUAAAAUGGAUAGAGGUUACGAUACAUUUUCAUGUUGAGAAGUUUGCCAAUGCCGAACCGCACGUUGUUUGAUGCCGAAAUGAAAUGAAGGGAUCAUUAUCAAAAGCCGCCUGCGUCGGUUCCUGCUCGUCUGAUAGUGACGUCAGGGAGUACGAUGAUGAAGCCAGCCAGAUCAAACAGUAUUUAAAAUUGCUGUUUAAAAUUCAAGAGGACAAGUACAAUUACGAUAACUAUGUGAAAUCUCUGGUUCAUGCUUUGCAAGUGUGUAGUUUUUCUUUACAUUCAUGCUUUUUAAUGAUAUCCUUACAUUCGCCGUAAAAUGUCCGGCCUGGAUAAAAUUCGGCUAAAUUGCGGCAAUCGGACUCAAUCUGGGAUACGUUAUUCAACGUACGAGUUGCAUAUCAACAAGGGUCGUGCCAUUUAGAACACCUUUCGCGAGGAUUAUCUGAUGAAAACUAAAAAAUUUUAAUGCGUUCAAAAGAUUGGUGCAAAUGGUUCAGCAGGUGGUCGAAAUUCCUUCAAAGAAUAUGGAGAAUUCGUACAAUAAAUACAAACUGCUUGGCGAAAAGCACGAAGAUGUCGCGAGUGUCGUUCCGUGACUUAGUUGCGACGGUGAAAUCUCCGGC